UGAUCCUCCCAUACCUGUCACUGAGGAAGAC
rnacentral:piRNA from 1 species